AUUGAACGCUGGCGGCAGGCCUAACACAUGCAAGUCGAACGAGUGGCGGACGGGUGAGUAAUGUCUGGGAAACUGCCUGAUGGAGGGGGAUAACUACUGGAAACGGUAGCUAAUACCGCAUACCAUCGGAUGUGCCCAGAUGGGAUUAGCUAGUAGGUGGGGUAAAGGCUCACCUAGGCGACGAUCCCUAGCUGGUCUGAGAGGAUGACGGGCCACAAUGGAAAUGAGACACGGUCCAGACUCCGACGGGAGGCAGCAGUGGGGAAUAUUGCACGAUGGAGGCAGGAAUGAUGCAGCCAUGCCGCGUGUAUGAAGAAGGCCUUCGGGUUGUAAAGUACUGUCAGCGGGAAGGCGUUACCCGCAGAAGAAGCACCGGCUAACUCCGUGCCAGCAGCCGCGGUAAUUC
rnacentral:rRNA from 1 species